CGUGCAUGAUGAUGAUAAGUUUAAAUCGCCCGAUUACCCAAUGACGAAUUUAAACCUCCUACUCAUUCUGA